rnacentral:rRNA from 1 species
CAGUAGCCGCGGGAAUACGUAGGUGGCAAGCGUUGUCCGGAAUUAUUGGGCGUAAAGGGCUCGCAGGCGGUUUCUUAAGUCUGAUGUGAAAGCCCCCGGCUCAACCGGGGAGGGUCAUUGGAAACUGGGAAACUUGAGUGCAGAAGAGGAGAGCAGAAUUCCACGUGUAGCGGUGAAAUGCGUAGAGAUGUGGAGGAACACCAGUGGCGAAGGCGACUCUCUGGUCUGUAACUGACGCUGAGGAGCGAAAGCGUGGGGAGCGAACAGGAUUAGAUACCCGAGUAGUCCCUGUCUCUUAUAC